AAUCAAAUGAUGAACGAGUUUUUAAAUUGAGUUUGAGCGCCCUAAUCAAGUGCUCUAACUCGCUCCAUGGAGUCUUUGGAUUUUAUGGAUGUGGGGCAUUGAGAAGACGACCUCGCUCUUUCACCACCUUUUUGGGGUCGAAUGUUGUUCUGAGAUUUUGUUUCGUUGUGUAAAUAGUAACAGUAGCUAUUUAAGUUUAAAUAAUCGAGUUUUUCAAUUUAUAUUUUUGUUUUUAUAAUGUGAAUAAUACUUUAUGCGGCAUCAAUUUUUUAAAUUGCAUGCUUUGAAGU